rnacentral:rRNA from 1 species
UACGAAGGGGGCUAGCGUUGUUCGGAAUUACUGGGCGUAAAGGGCGCGUAGGCGGCCGAUUAAGUUAGAUGUGAAAGUCCUGGGCUCAACCUGGGGACUGCAUUUAAUACUGGUUGGCUUGAAUUCGGGAGAGGAUAGCGGAAUUCCCAGUGUAGAGGUGAAAUUCGUAGAUAUUGGGAAGAACACCGGUGGCGAAGGCGGCUAUCUGGACCGACAUUGACGCUGAGGCGCGAAAGCUAGGGGAGCAAACGGG